AGACGUGUUUUACGCGAUCAGAGCACCUAAGUUAAUCGAUCCACAUCUAUAAAGUAAUAGACAAAUUUUUACAGUAAAUAAAUAUGAUCACGAAGGCGAGCGGAAAUCAAGUAAACGAGCGCCGUUUGGAAAUCUGCUAGGCUAUCUUCGCUUCCAGGAAUUUACAUAGGAAGUCCAAAACGAAAAGUAACGGAGAUAUGGCGUGAUAUUUUCGAUUCCCUGCACUUUACAUCGGCGUUCGUUCGACUCAACUGGUCUCAACUGAACAUCUUGGGUGAUCGAAGGGGUAAAUAGAUGAGCGACGCAGAGAAACUAACCUGGAAUUUUCUGAACUCGGCCGCUCUCUCAGUAAUAUUUACGAGUAUGUAGAUGAUUUGGGGCGGACUGGUGGGAAUGCAAACGCGGAAUUUAAUACAUUUUCUGGGAUAUCGAUAAAUAUUGGGAAUAAAAUGAGAAAAAAGUGAGGGCGUAACCGUUUUGUAGGUGAAAGGGAGGGCGUGGCACUGCUUUGGUAUACCGAUAAAAACAAUAAAACAAAGAAAAAUCUAAACAUUUUUCAAAAGUUUCGGCCUGGCAGUUUUGAGCUAUUUUAGGGCGUUAGAGUGGGCGUCGCAAAAAGUUUUUUUGCAAAUCGAUAGUAACUUACAAGACAAAAUUAUGAGAAAAUAACUUAAAAAAAAUGGAAAAUUUCGGCGUGGCAGUUUUGUUCGGUUUGUGGGCGUUAAUCUCAUCCUGGUAGUUGAGAUCGAGGCGUUCAUACAGACAUGGCCAGUUCGACUCCAAUAUUGAUCCUGAUCAAGAAUAUAUGGUCGGACAAAUGGUUAACGAAUCACUUUAACCCUACGAGUAACGGCUAUAAAAAUUUUAUUUUAGUAGGUAGAGGAAAGCACUGCUUCCAGAAAGAAAAAAGUAGAGACAAGAAAAAACAUAAAGAAAUUCAUAAAAGCCUUCAGUGUUCUGCCAAAAUUGAACCCAAUUCCAUUAAAUAUCUUAGAAAAUCGUAGUGCCACACGUAAAGUCAGAGAUACAAGCAUCUAGGACUUACAGCUCGUAAGGGAUAUUUGUAUACUCCACUAGUAACAGGUAUCAAAUUUAUACAAAACAAACACAAGUGCAAAAAUAUAAGAGAAUAUAUCGCAUUGGCUAUGUAAGAGCAUGACAAUAUAUUCGAUGCACACACUCAAAAAAACCACAUGGCUUAAUUCAGUUCACACCACCUAGAAAUAUUAUUUUAAGUUAAUGAUAAAUUUAACAGCACAAUUACGUUCUAUUAAUUCAUUAAAAAACACUCAGUUACAUAUAAAAGUAUAUUAUGAGAUCAGAGCGGUCAUAUGGACAGGAAGACGGGCGCUCAGGCGGACAUGGCCAGAUUGACUCGGCUAAAGCACCUGAUCAGGCUUUCUGCCUAUUACAAAUGUGUUAAUUCAAAUAAUUGCAUAUUUAAUUUAUUUUAUUAAAGUCUGACUCGUAAUAAACUCGAUAAAAUGAGUAGCGGUCCAAAGAAUGAGCGUAGCAGCUCCGUAAAUCGAAGAAACGGCUGUUACUCUUACUUCUCAACACGCGAUGUCAACGUUGAAAAUAAAUCAACAAAAAGCAACUCGGCUCUACUGACCGUCGGCUGCAGGAGCACUGGUUCAUCCACUAUGCUUACCCUAACUCCUGCAUCAUGGAACUACCAGUGCCAAACCCCACCACCGCCGCCUUCGAUCGGACUCCAACGACUAGUGCUGCAAUUUCUGGUCCACCAACAACUUAGUCAUCUACCGAUAUUCCGGAUUUGGUGCCGCUGCUGACCGAAAAAUGCAAUGGCAGCUUUAAGUUUAAAAGACCUGGUCAACGACAUUGUUGCGGUGGUCGGACAAAAAUUUCCAUGUUGUUCCGCUUAUUAAACGGAACAUCCGAAGAACACUUACGAACUGUGUUUCAAUACCUGGAGGAAACAAAAAAGAACUUUCACGCCUAGCAACUAAAAAGCAAGUUCUAUUUGCAGCCAGCUUUGGAGACUCAAUUUAACUUUACGGCACCUCAGCUGUGCGAUUAUCUUUUGGUACUGUUGGAAGGACUUUAUUAUAUUACUAAACGUUUUUUAAUGAAUUAAUAUAAAGUAAUUGUGCUGUUACAUUACCAGGAGUUGAUUAAUAAGUGUUGGUAAAUUUCUCAUUAUUUUAAAUUAACAUUUCCUGGUGGAGUUAACUGUAUUUUUGGGCCGAAUAGCAAAGGCAUUUCCUUUAUAUUUGAUAUAUUAUUUUAAUCUUAUUUUCUAUAAGUAUAUUAAGGUUUGAAAAGUAACAGGAAUUAGAUUUUAACAAUGCUUGUCGCAGAUUUACGCGAAAAAUUUACAGAAUUUAGACUCACCGGAGAAAGAAGGAAGAAAGAAUUGCAAAACUGACUGCUUGCUCACUACGGAUGGACCGUUGAUAAUCAUGAUGAUGAAGAAAUCAAAGUGAAUGAUGAUCUGGUGGUAGAUGAGUCUAAUAAUAUGCAGGCAGGUCGAUAUGUAGGCGGAUUCCAUUUGUAGGUGGGUGGGCAGAACCGUUAGCUUCAAAUUCCUAGUUCGGGUAGAUUAUAUUGAAAUAUAUUGUUUUGCGGUCAAAGUUUUCAGGAUUAAUCAGUGGAUUGACGAGCUUGAAGAUUUUGCUCUUACGGCGGAAUGGAGUCAGUUACAGGUAACUGCGAAAUAAUUCCUCAGUGAUUUGAGAGUGUCAUCGGAAAAGGUUCAUCGUAGACUUAAAAAACGACACCAGAAAAAGUACCUGUAUGCUUUAAUCAUAACAGAAAAUUACAUUAUCUGUAAAUCAAGUCAAGUACGGCUCUCACUUCAUUGAAGGUUAGAGAGAGAUAGUUCAAGUAGUUGAGAAGGUUAGAAAAUGUUUUAACUGUGUGUUACAAAAAAUAAACAAUAAGCAUUUCAGGUGCAACCAAACACAUCAUAGGGCAGCUUAGGUCAAAAUGGUAGCCAAACAGGAGAAGAACACAAAUAUAGUACAGUUGGAAAGCAAGACAGAGCCAACAAACGUCUUUACGUCUUCAGAUCUAGUCUUACAGUCUAGCAUACCAGCACUAUGUGUUCCAAUAAUUAAUUCUUUGGCAACGGCACUUAGCCGUUCUUGCAAACAAAUCCUAAAGACUGACCAAAGCCGUUUUGCCUGCUCUCUUUGAAGCUUCUCCCAAACUUAUGCACCCAAGAACAAUGCUCUCCCGAAAUAAAAUACUUUUACUUUCUUCUUAAUCCAACCUACAUUUUAAUGUUAAUCUAAAUCUGCACAUUGAACAAUAAAGAAUUUAUUAUAACCUGAUUUCAAUUUUCUUUUAUUUGACAAAACUUAAUAUACAGUGUUGGCCUUAGUCAUAAAAGACGGUCCAUUUAAUAGACUGAAGGGUAAUAAAAAACGUUCCUAUUUACUUAACACCAAGAUAAAAAGCAACUGCCCGAUCUGGAACAGUGGUUCCUUUUCUUAGUCAACUUUUACUAGGAUCUAUCCGUGAACUGGCCCACCUAACAGAGUGCCAAAAACCCCUCCCGCCAGUAGGCGAAAAAUCAGGAUGUUUGACCUAUUUGUUCGAAAUCCACUAACCGUGGUAGCUGACCUAUGAGUUCGGAUUCCACAACAGUUUUCCUAUUUCCCCGGACUCGAGCCUCACAAAUGAGGUGCCUACUUGGCUUAGUACGUCGUCUCCAGGCGCUUUAGCCUAGUACAGCGCGGCAUCAGCUUUACGUUCUUCGAUAAGUUCCCCCACCUAAUUUGCACUAGAUCGAGAAAUAAACGAUCUAACCGCAACGCGUCGUUAAAUGCGUUACCAUCAUAUCCUGCUCUUUUUGGACCCGAACCUGUUAAACGACCUGGCUACUUGACCUACACAUACGAGUUUUGUUCACGUUAAUUUAAAAAGUCACUUAGCUGAUUGAUAUUAUAACAGGAAAAUCUCACAUAUUUUUUAUCUAAGGAAUUUAGAAGUUCAUUUUCCAAUUAACAAAACAAAGCACCUAUGAUUUUAAAAUAACAAAAGUGGUCUUAAAGUCAAAUAAGGCAUUUAUUCUGAAACAUUUACACGUGUUCUCUGUUGCAGAAGUUGGCGACUUUAUGUUUAUAAUGUUUAGGAAAAAGAAUUUACUUAGCAAGGGAGCAUUAAUAGUACUGCGGUCCAAUGUUCUCUAAAGAGUCAAUUGGGAGCCAAUUCUGUUACGUCGGCGCCCUCAGUGCUCUCGUCCUGCAAAAUUACUUGUGCCGAGGGAGAGGCGUUCGAUGUUCAGGCACCAGGUUGCCAGCGUUAGCUCGCCGUAUUAGGGUCGUACGAUCUUGUCCUCAGUGCCCAACAAGCUUGGUUGUUAGCUCGAUCGCAAAACAAUCGGGCACUGUUUCGUCCACAUUCCCUCCCCUUCACUCGCCCGUGUGCCAAAUGGAUCGCCUCUGGCUGCGCCAUUCGAACCCCAUUUGGUCAAGGUUGUCCGUCUAACGUUAUGUCAUAAUUUUGGACCUACCGUACUACUUUAAGAAUGUUUAUCUACUCAUCUUGUUGAAGUGGAAUAAAUAUCAUAUCUUUUUUGAAAAAUAUAUUGAUGGCUAGUGCCAUUUGUAAUAUAACAUUUAACGGCUAGUAUAAAAAAGCUAAACAAGUUGAUAAAAAUUUUGCCUUUCGAUUUAACCACCGGGCAACGGUGCAAUGAGGGCGUUUGACUAUGUGCAUCAAAAACAAGACUAAUAAUCGCCACUGAAAAGUUAUCUUUAUUUAUAAAAAAUGUAUUAUUUAUUAAACCUUUAAUUGUUAUCAAAUGUCAAAAAAAUGCACUGCCUGAAAGAGGCCAACG